rnacentral:rRNA from 1 species
GAUGAACGCUGGCGGCGUGCUUAACACAUGCAAGUCGAACGGAAAGGCCCAAGCUUGCUUGGGUACUCGAGUGGCGAACGGGUGAGUAACACGUGGGUGAUCUGCCCUGCACUUCGGGAUAAGCCUGGGAAACUGGGUCUAAUACCGGAUAGGACCACAUUUUGGAUGGUGUGGUGGAAAGUUUUUCGGUGUGGGAUGAGCUCGCGGCCUAUCAGCUUGUUGGUGGGGUAAUGGCCUACCAAGGCGUCGACGGGUAGCCGGCCUGAGAGGGUGUACGGCCACAUUGGGACUGAGAUACGGCCCAGACUCCUACGGGAGGCAGCAGUGGGGAAUAUUGCACAAUGGGCGCAAGCCUGAUGCAGCGACGCCGCGUGGGGGAUGACGGCCUUCGGGUUGUAAACUCCUUUCGCUAGGCACGAAGCGUUAUGUGACGGUACCUGGAGAAGAAGCACCGGCUAACUACGUG